rnacentral:rRNA from 1 species
GACGAACGCUGGCGGCGUGCUUAACACAUGCAAGUCGAACGGAGUCUUAGAGGAAGCUUGCGAAUUUAAGACUUAGUGGCGGACGGGUGAGUAACGCGUGGAUAACCUGCCCAAGAGACUGGGAUAACGCCGGGAAACUGGUGCUAAUACCGGAUACGUUCCCUGAGUCGCAUGAUUUGGGGAAGAAAAGUGAAAACUGCUCAUGGAUGGAUCCGCGUCCCAUUAGCUAGUUGGUGGGGUAAAGGCCUACCAAGGCGACGAUGGGUAGCCGGCCUGAGAGGGUGGCCGGCCACACUGGGACUGAGACACGGCCCAGACUCCUACGGGAGGCAGCAGUGGGGAAUCUUCCGCAAUGGGCGAAAGCCUGACGGAGCAACGCCGCGUGAGUGACGAAGGCCCUUGGGUCGUAAAACUCUGUCUUCAGGGAAGAAAAAAAUGACGGUACCUGAGGAGGAAGCCCCGGCUAACUACGUGCCAGCAGCCGCGGUAAAACGUAGGGGGCGAGCGUUGUCCGGAAUUACUGGGCGUAAAGGGCGUGUAGGCGGCUCGCGAAGUCAGGAGUGAAAACUCGGGGCUCAACCUCGAGAUUGCUUUUGAAACCAGCGGGCUUGAGUGCAGGAGAGGAAAGUGGAAUUCCCAGUGUAGCGGUGAAAUGCGUAGAUAUUGGGAGGAACACCAGUGGCGAAAGCGGCUUUCUGGCCUGUAACUGACGCUGAGGCGCGAAAGCGUGGGGAGCAAACAGGAUUAGAUACCCUGGUAGUCCACGCCGUAAACGAUGGGUGCUAAGUGUUGGGGGUAUCGACCCCCUCAGUGCUGUAGUUAACGCAAUAAGCACCCCGCCUGGGGAGUACGGUCGCAAGACUGAAACUCAAAGGAAUUGACGGGGGCCCGCACAAGCGGUGGAGCAUGUGGUUUAAUUCGACGCAACGCGAGGAACCUUACCAGGGAUUGACAUCCCCUGACCGGACAUGAAAGUGUCCUUUCCUU